AUGGCUCAAGAUAAUACUAAAUUGUGUGACUUUACCAAUACCAACAACAAUGAUUUUAUUAGCACUCCGAUUGCUCCUGUUACUAAUGCUAAAUUUGAUGAAAGUGGGACUGAAGAAAUUAAAACCCUAGAUGUUGCUAAACCCACUAUUUUGGAUUUCAAGGAAUUUAAUUAUGAAAAUUGCUCUUUAAUUGAUGGUAUUUCCUUGUUGCAAUCCGUGCUAAAUUCUCCUCAUGCUUAUAGUCAAAAUAAAGCGUUUACUAAACAUAUCGUUGAUGCCUUGAUGCAAUCUUAUGAAGAAAAAUUUGAGUUGGAAGUUUCUAUCCCUAGAAAAAUUUAUGAUGAGUGGGAACCAACUAUUAAAAUUAAUAUUAAAGAUCAUGAGUUCUAUGCCUUAUGUGAUUUGAGUGCUAGUGUUUCCACGAUUCCAAAGACUUUGUGUGACUUGUUAGGUUUCCGUGAUUUUGAUGAUUGCUCUUUAAACUUGCACCUUGCGGAUUCCACUAUGAAGAAACCAAUGGGAAGAAUCAAUGAUGUUCUUAUUGUCGCAAAUAGGAAUUAUGUUCCCGUAGAUUUUAUUAUUCUUGACAUAGAUUGCAAUCCUUCAUGUCCUAUUAUUCUUGGUAGACCUUUCCUUAGAACGAUUGGUGCAAUUAUUGAUAUGAAGGAAGGAAAUAUUAGCUUCCAAUUUCCGUUAAGAAAAGGCAUGGAACACUUUCCUAGAAAGAAAAUUAAAUUACCUUAUGAAUCUAUUAUGAGAGCCACUUACGGAUUCCCUACCAAACAUGGCAAUACCUAG
rnacentral:rRNA from 1 species